rnacentral:rRNA from 1 species
CCCGGCAUCGGGAUAUGGUUAAAGCCUUCGGGCGGUACAAGAUGGCCAUGCGUCCCAUUAGUUUGUUGGUAAGGUAACGGCUUACCAAGACUACGAUGGGUAGGGGCCCUGAGAGGGGGAUCCCCCACACUGGUACUGAGACACGGACCAGACUCCUACGGGAGGCAGCAGUGAGGAAUAUUGGACAAUGGAGGAGACUCUGAUCCAGCCAUGCCGCGUGCAGGAAGAAUGCCCUAUGGGUAGUAAACUGCUUUUAUACGGGAAGAAAAAGAGCUACGUGUAGCUUACUGACGGUACCGUAAGAAUAAGGACCGGCUAACUCCGUGCCAGCAGCCGCGGUAAUACGGAGGGUCCGAGCGUUAUCCGGAAUUAUUGGGUUUAAAGGGUCCGUAGGCGGGCCGAUAAGUCAGGGGUGAAAGUCUGCCGCUCAACGGUAGAACUGCCUUUGAUACUGUCGGUCUUGAGUUAUAGUGAAGUUGCCGGAAUAUGUAGUGUAGCGGUGAAAUGCAUAGAUAUUACAUAGAACACCGAUUGCGAAGGCAGGUGACUAACUAUAUACUGACGCUGAUGGACGAAAGCGUGGGGAGCGAACAGGAUUAGAUACCCUGGUAGUCCACGCCGUAAACGAUGGAUACUAGCUGUCCGGAACCUUGAGUUCUGGGCGGCCAAGCGAAAGUGAUAAGUAUCCCACCUGGGGAGUACGUUCGCAAGAAUGAAACUCAAAGGAAUUGACGGGGGCCCGCACAAGCGGUGGAGCAUGUGGUUUAAUUCGAUGAUACGCGAGGAACCUUACCAGGGCUUAAAUGCAUAUUGACAGGUCUAGAGAUAGAUUUUCCUUCGGGCAAUUUGCAAGGUGCUGCAUGGUUGUCGUCAGCUCGUGCCGUGAGGUGUCAGGUUAAGUCCUAUAACGAGCGCAACCCCUACCGUUAGUUGCCAGCAUGUCAUGAUGGGGACUCUAACGGGACUGCCGGUGCAAACCGUGAGGAAGGUGGGGAUGACGUCAAAUCAUCACGGCCCUUACGUCCUGGGCCACACACGUGCUACAAUGGCAGGUACAGAGAGCAGCCAUGUCGCAAGGCAGAGCGAAUCUAUAAAACCU